rnacentral:rRNA from 1 species
CUUGUAGUAUUGCCUAUACAUUCUUGUAUGUUUGAUUGCAGGAUGUUGUCGGCGUGCACUUCUCCCCUAGUAGGACGUCGCGACCCGUUGAAUUUCGGUCUAUGGCCCAAGUGGGAGCUUUUGAAUUCAUUUUCGAAAACCCUUGGUGUUUCCUGGCCGGAAUUCGGCGGUAUACGCAUGGUAUUGAGCCGCUCAUUAAUAUGUGCGUUCUUAUCCAUCGCAAGCGAGGUUAGUUACUGAUAGUUCGGACCUAGUGCCGGCGUUGGUGCUAAUCAGCUGUUGGUUGUAUGGAAUUCUAGAACUGGCUCUAUGAAAUACCGGUCAGCGAUGCUACUGCUUUGGGUACUUUCAGGACCCGUCUUGAAACACGGACCAAGGAGUCUAACAUGUACGCGAGUCAUUGGGAUUAUUUUAAAUUAAACCUAA